rnacentral:misc_RNA from 1 species
UUAUAUGUAUAGAUGUCAACAAUUAUUGUACAAUAUUUGCUAUCGCUCGUCUAUCGUAAGUGAUAAUCCAAAUAAUUAGAUAUUUAUACACAUGAUUACUCGUUCACACAGUACUGUUACGUAGAUAUAUGAUAUGGCUGAUAGCAAACGCAAUUAACCAGGUAUAUUUUUCUUAUUUACAAUUUGUUUAUAUUUGAAUAGUAUAUAAGGUAUGAACACAUCUUGAUUAUUACUGAGACAUAUUUAUUAUUUUUAUUAAUUUUUGUAUGUACGGUCGGCCAAGAAAGUGGUGUACCAGUUUUGAUUUAAUUUCCUGGUCAUCGAAAAUUACAACAAGGUUCGUUAUUAAAAGAUAUUACUGAAAGAGACAUAUAAUAAUGACGUAAACCUAAUUGAUAAGUAUUCAUACGUCAUUACGGUACAUAAAUAUUAGUUAAGGUAAAUAAGAUAGAAGCUUAAUUUUUUUAAAAAUUAUAACUGUCACAACAAUGUGUUUUGAACUGCGUCUUACAAGGAAAACAAGUUGUUUUUUCUCAAAUAUUUUUUAUUUAUUUAAUAAAUAUUUUAUUUUGUGUAUGUGUUUUUUACUGUCUAAUUGAAACAAUAUUUUUGUGACGAUGAUUCAUCGUUCCUGUCGUACCAAUAUAUGAAUUGAUUAAGUUUUUUGUAUUUAAUAUUCUCAGACAAGGUUCGCAACAAAGGGAAAUUAAAAAGUCGAUGUCUUUAUUGUUGUAUAAUAUAUUUAUGUAGAACUUUUACAACGUCCCUCGUGCAGGAGAGUAUCACUUUCACAUUGUAACCUGAAAACAAAACAAAAUAAAUAAUAAGCUAGCUGAGCUGACCUGGCGAACUUCGUACCAUCAUAUUUUUUAAUUAUUAAAAAAAAUCGUGGUCAUUAAUCGAAAUAAAAUAUAGCCUAUAUUAAGUUGGACAAAGUUAUAAAUCUGUGUCAAAUUUCAUCAAAUUCGGUGCAGUAGGUUUGGUAAUUAGUCCAGACAAACAUUUUGAUACGAGAUUUUUAUAUGUUUUGAUACAAUUCGCUGUCAACUUUAACUUUUGUAUCCACAAAUA